UUCACUUUUUUUUAGCAUUUGAACUCCUCUUAGCUUAAAGUGUUGUAGCUUCUUUAAUUGCUACUUGUGCUUCAUUCUCCAUUCCAAGUCCUCCAAGUGCAACAGAUUCAAGAUAAAAUGCAAUGUGCCAUACAGGAAAAAUCACUCUUGUCUCACUACAAAAAUUUUAUUUGUUUGUGGUAGUUUUUAAAUGGGAGUUACUAAAAACUUCUAUAAUAUAUUUUAUUUGUGACAAAUUAUAAAACCUCCUAAAAUAAUUAACAAAAACUCCCACUUUUCUAAUACUCUCAAUCCAAUCAAUUAUAAAAAAAUCCAAUUUAAACAAAUAUUCACUCCCCCAUACCAAAAAAAAAUUUCAAAACAAGGCUUCGAGAUUCUGAAACCCUAGAAUCUCAAUGUCAUUGCCACCGCAUUCAUCCCCUUGCCAUUGUUACCGUCAUUGUCUCCUUCGUCAAUGCAUCACUGGUGGAGUUAUGAAUGGAGGACGAGGUGAUCGUGGAGCCUCUCAAUCCGUGGAGCCCUCUGCACCUCUUCUGUGGAUUUCGUGAACUGAAUUGUGGAGAAUGCAAGAAUUGUAAUCCUCAACUCAAACUUCUCACUACUUUCAAAGUGAACGAUAACCGAACAAUCACACAACUGAUACUCUCAUUCGGAUUCAGGAUCAGCAUCUGCUAGAAUUAAUGAUAGCAAGAAAGUUCCACGCUAAGACAUUGAGCUUGUAAGCAAAUCCUACUAGCUUGUCAUUAUUCUUCCAGGGGACCUACACAUGCCAAUUGUAUAUAAAGUUGAUCAUAUUCGAGAUCGAGAUGGAAAGAGCUUUGCUACGCAGAGAGUUGAUGCAACUCAAAAGGAAAAUAUUGUGUUCACUUUGCUGGCUUCAUUUCAAAAAGAAGAAUUAGGAUUUGACCACCAGGAGGUAGCCAUGCCAUCUAUGCCUCCACCAGAUAAGCUUUUGUCAAUGGAGGAGCUGCGGGAGAGAUGUCUUACUGACCCUCGUCUUCCAAAAUAAGAUUUUGGAGGAGCUGCGGAAGAGACGCCAAGAAAGUUUCAUGCCAAGACUUCGUUUUUCCACUUCCCAUGGCUUAUGUGCAUCUCAAGUGGUAUCUUCCUUACUAGCAAUUGUUGUGAAGUUCUAGUCUCUGCUCUUAUGGUGGCCAGAGAAGAGCUUGCUACCAUCAACAGGAGUGCAACUGCCAGAAGCUUCUUCAUUCUAAAUUUUUGAUACACUAUGUGCAGUGGAGACUGGGCCAGUACCAAUUGAUCUACAAUCUCACUUGACAGCUUGUGAUAUUUUUUGCAAGGGAAAAAAGGAAUAAAACUUGUUUUGUUUUAUACUCCAGAGUCCAUAUUAUUUGACAACAGGGAUGUUUGCAUCUGAAUCUUGUUUCUAUGACAGGUGAUGCCCUGUAUGCAUUCAAGACUCAGAGAAUUGAAAGAUCCUAAUAAUGUUCUUCAAACUGCCAAUCUUGUAAAUUCUUGCACAUGGUUUCAUGUCACUUGCAACCAAGAUAAUAAUGUGACCAGCAUGGAAUUUUUUAAUAAUGAUUUAACUGGGCCUAUCCCAAAUGAGCUUGGAAAUUCGAUAAAUUUGGAGAAGUUGGAUCUUUACUCAAACAACUUAACUGGUGUCAUACCAGACACAUUAGGCAAAUGGUCGCAAUGAAAUUGAUGUUGAUAAGUUUGACUACAUUAUUCGUGAUUGUCGUGCUUGUGGCCUAGGUUGCAACUUUCAUCCUGAAAGAUAUUUAUUAGGAUGAAUGCUUUGAAUUUGAUAAUGAUUUGCCCUUUUGUGCAAAAAUGUUACUCUACUCUUGAUUUCUGAACUAUGCAGAAGCAUCCAUACUUUAUCCAUAUUUCUCUUUCAAAAGGGAUGAUAACUGAAAAUAAUUUUAUUGUAUU